rnacentral:rRNA from 1 species
AGAACGAACGCUGGCGGCAUGCCUAACACAUGCAAGUCGAACGGACGUCUUCGGACGUUAGUGGCGCACGGGUGCGUAACGCGUGGGAAUCUGCCCUUAGGUUCGGAAUAACAGUUAGAAAUGACUGCUAAUACCGGAUAAUGACUUCGGUCCAAAGAUUUAUCGCCUAGGGAUGAGCCCGCGUAGGAUUAGCUUGUUGGUGAGGUAAAAGCUCACCAAGGCGACGAUCCUUAGCUGGUCUGAGAGGAUGAUCAGCCACACUGGGACUGAGACACGGCCCAGACUCCUACGGGAGGCAGCAGUGGGGAAUAUUGGACAAUGGGCGAAAGCCUGAUCCAGCAAUGCCGCGUGAGUGAUGAAGGCCUUAGGUUGUAAAGCUCUUUUGCCAGGGAUGAUAAUGAACAGUACCUGGAGAAUAAGCUCCGGCUAACCUCCGUGCCGAGCCAGCCGC